UCGUGCUUGCGAAAAGCGCGACAUCGAUCGACAUUUUCAAAAUUCUCGACAUCCUUUCGUUACACCGUUCAAUUAACACAUUCCCGUCAGACGGGAAUGCCGAACGACCCGACGUGAUAUACUACGGAACUGGAGUGUAUCUUGGUAACACCAAGCUGCAGGUGCGUCCCACGCGAGUAUCUGACAUUGCCAAGAAGACGUUUUUGGUGAUUUUGAAAAUUCGCGUAAAAAUGCAAUCUUGCUGGAAGUAAAAUUUUCGAGUUACACGCCAGAGAUUAGCGGCUGCCAACCUAUCUGGCUAGGAGUAUGGAGCGACGAGUGGUAGAGGGCUUUUAUGGGAGGGGAGAGAGAGAGAGAGAGAGAAAAGAAGAAAAAGAAUGUAGAACAAGAAAACAAAAAGUGAACAAUCCAAUUAGCGAAGGGUUCUCGCACCCCGGAUACUUAUUACCAGUGAAGGUCGGUGAAGUCCUUCCUGGUAGUGACAAAAAAAAAAAAGUACCAGCUUGAGUAAGGAAGAGGGGGAAAAAAUUACCAAAUUCGACUGCGCGACCUACGUCGUUCGUUCGCGUCUCCUUGCGCAUUUUUCCAGUCUUCUUGACCGGAAGACAACCACGUAUACAGAUUCUUUCUGCCGUUUCUGUAAUAUACUAACGAGAUUUAAUGAAAAAUUGCCUGAACGAUUCCACCGUGGUCUACCGGAUAUUACAAGGACACGUCGUAAAAUCGAAGAAUUGCUUCAACACCGGAAAACUUCAACACCGGAUGACUUUCAGAGCGCAGAAAGCGACCGGAUAGUAAGGGAAAGUUUUUUAUUUUCCAAUUUCUCCCAACCGGAAACUGCUGCUCACCUGAUAUCGGUUACGAGCGCCCUGCCAAAUAAAUAAGGUUUAGCGAAUUUCGGUAUUUACGACCCCAAUCAAUUCCAAGUCACCGUGAAGUUCAAAAGUGGGCUAGAAAAAAAGAAAAGGAAAAAAAAAAGGCUGCGUAACGCAAAACAGUUAAAAGUCACGAGCAUCGAGCAGACAUCGAUUCGUCGACUGACGUCCGGACAGUGAAAAAUAAUUAUUUAACGAGCCUCGAGGAAUUUCGAAGAAUUACGCAAGAAAUGAAAUCGAAUGGUUUCGACGCGCCAAAGGAAUCUAUCGAUUAUUCGUGUAAUCGAGUUCCGUUGCGUCACCCCAUCGACGUGUGUCAGGACAGAAAACACCACAGAAAAAAAAUACUGUCGAAUACCUUGAAACGGGAUACACCCUUCGAUUUGUUUGAGAGAACGAGGAAUGCGAAUAAUCGAC